AGGAUGUGGGAAUGAGUCAAGGUGCAGGAGAGCCUGUCCUCUGUCCCUAAUGCAGUUCUUAGAUGCCUAAAUAAUGUGAAUUUUAAAGACAGAGACACUUUGCUUGCACAUUUUCUGGAAAGUGAGCAGGCAGCUCAGCCACCAGUGUUAGACUCAGGGACCUCCUCCAUCAGUUCCGUGGUAGAGAAUGGAGCACUUCCGAACCCCCCAGAGGAUUGGCUGCCCUGCGCUUCCUACACAGGUACGUGGCUGGAUUUGCUUUGCUCAAGUCUACAAAUCAAUUUAGAAGCACCCUAAUCCUCCCCGGGAUGACAAACAAGAAGAAGCAACACAGAACACCAGUGAGAAAACAGCCCUGAGGUCAGGAAACCAUGCUAAGUCUGCUACCAAUCAGUAACAUGAACUUGAAAAGUCACUUAAACUCUGUGGGCUUCAGUCUCCCCUGUGAAAUAGGUAGGUGGGACUUGAUCAACUUGCAGGAAAGGAAGUCUUUCCAGCACAGAGAAAUGGGGGUGGCUUUGCCAGCAUAGCCCACACAGCCACGCAUCUCAUGGUGUUCAACCUUCCAGCACUCAGAAUCCCCUUGUUACAUGAAUACCUGGGUUAUCAGCAAAAUAUGAGCCAAUAACUUGCUAAUAACAGAAGAGUCACUUUUGAGGUAUCAGUCAUAAAUAUGUAUGAUUGCUUAAAAAGCCAUGAGUCACUCAAGAUGAGGAACAAUGGGAAAUAAACAUCAAUAUAAGGCA